AGUCGAGCGAACGGACGAGAAGCUUGCUUCUCUGAUGUUAGCGGCGGACGGGUGAGUAACACGUGGAUAACCUACCUAUAAGACUGGGAUAACUUCGGGAAACCGGAGCUAAUACCGGAUAAUAUUUUGAACCGCAUGGUUCAAAAGUGAAAGACGGUCUUGCUGUCACUUAUAGAUGGAUCCGCGCUGCAUUAGCUAGUUGGUAAGGUAACGGCUUACCAAGGCAACGAUGCAUAGCCGACCUGAGAGGGUGAUCGGCCACACUGGAACUGAGACACGGUCCAGACUCCUACGGGAGGCAGCAGUAGGGAAUCUUCCGCAAUGGGCGAAAGCCUGACGGAGCAACGCCGCGUGAGUGAUGAAGGUCUUCGGAUCGUAAAACUCUGUUAUUAGGGAAGAACAUAUGUGUAAGUAACUGUGCACAUCUUGACGGUACCUAAUCAGAAAGCCACGGCUAACUACGUGCCAGCAGCCGCGGUAAUACGUAGGUGGCAAGCGUUAUCCGGAAUUAUUGGGCGUAAAGCGCGCGUAGGCGGUUUUUUAAGUCUGAUGUGAAAGCCCACGGCUCAACCGUGGAGGGUCAUUGGAAACUGGAAAACUUGAGUGCAGAAGAGGAAAGUGGAAUUCCAUGUGUAGCGGUGAAAUGCGCAGAGAUAUGGAGGAACACCAGUGGCGAAGGCGACUUUCUGGUCUGUAACUGACGCUGAUGUGCGAAAGCGUGGGGAUCAAACAGGAUUAGAUACCCUGGUAGUCCACGCCGUAAACGAUGAGUGCUAAGUGUUAGGGGGUUUCCGCCCCUUAGUGCUGCAGCUAACGCAUUAAGCACUCCGCCUGGGGAGUACGACCGCAAGGUUGAAACUCAAAGGAAUUGACGGGGACCCGCACAAGCGGUGGAGCAUGUGGUUUAAUUCGAAGCAACGCGAAGAACCUUACCAAAUCUUGACAUCCUUUGACAACUCUAGAGAUAGAGCCUUCCCCUUCGGGGGACAAAGUGACAGGUGGUGCAUGGUUGUCGUCAGCUCGUGUCGUGAGAUGUUGGGUUAAGUCCCGCAACGAGCGCAACCCUUAAGCUUAGUUGCCAUCAUUAAGUUGGGCACUCUAAGUUGACUGCCGGUGACAAACCGGAGGAAGGUGGGGAUGACGUCAAAUCAUCAUGCCCCUUAUGAUUUGGGCUACACACGUGCUACAAUGGACA
rnacentral:rRNA from 1 species